AUACGGAGGGUGCAAGCGUUGUUCGGAAUCACUGGGCGUAAAGGGCGCGCAGGCGGUUUGGUAAGUCAGAUGUGAAAGCCCACGGCUCAACCGUGGAAGUGCAUUUGAAACUGCCAGACCUGAGUACCAGAGGGGAAAGUGGAAUUCCCGGUGUAGAGGUGAAAUUCGUAGAUAUCGGGAGGAAUACCGGUGGCGAAGGCGACUUUCUGGCUGGAUACUGACGCUGAGGCGCGAAAGCGUGGGGAGCAAACAGGAUUAGAAACCCCAGUAGUCC
rnacentral:rRNA from 1 species